AUACGGAGGGUCCAAGCGUUAUCCGGAAUCAUUGGGUUUAAAGGGUCCGCAGGCGGUCAAUUAAGUCAGAGGUGAAAGCCCAUCGCUCAACGAUGGAACUGCCUUUGAUACUGGUUGACUUGAGUUAUACGGAAGUAGAUAGAAUAAGUAGUGUAGCGGUGAAAUGCAUAGAUAUUACUUAGAAUACCGAUUGCGAAGGCAGUCUACUACGUAUAUACUGACACUGAGGGACGAAAGCGUGGGGAGCGAACAGGAUUAGAAACCCUAGUAGUCC
rnacentral:rRNA from 1 species